rnacentral:sRNA from 1 species
UUUCCACCAUAUUCUAUUGGUUGAAGUAGUCACAAGUCCACCUGGAUUCAAGGGGAGGGGACAGAGGCCCCAUCUCUUGAUAGGAGAAGUGCCAACAUUUUAAACCUGCUGCAUUGCUAACUGUAGUAUUUCUUUAAAGUUGUGACUUCUGUUUUUUUUUUUUUUUCUAUUUUUAGGAUUGGUGGCGAGUCCUUAGCAGUUGCCCAGAAUACAUAUGCUGUGAGCUGGUUUAAAGGCAAAGAAUUAAACCUGGUGUUUGGACUUCAACUUAGCAUGGCUAGAAUUGGAAGUACAGUAAACAUGAACCUCAUGGGAUGGCUGUAUUCUAAGAUUGAAGCUUUGUUAGGUUCUGCUGGUCACACAACCCUCGGGAUCACACUUAUGAUUGGGGGUAUAACAUGUAUUCUUUCACUAAUCUGUGCCUUGGCUCUUGCCUACUUGGAUCA